UACGUAGGGAGCAAGCGUUGUCCGGAAUCAUUGGGCGUAAAGCGCGCGUAGGCGGCCCCGUAAGUCCGCUGUGAAAGUCAAAGGCUCAACCUUUGAAAGCCGGUGGAUACUGUGUGGCUAGAGUCCGGAAGAGGCGAGUGGAAUUCCUGGUGUAGCGGUGGAAUGCGCAGAUAUCAGGAGGAACACCAAUAGCGAAGGCAGCUCGCUGGGACGGUACUGACGCUAAGGCGCGAAAGCGUGGGGAGCGAACAGG
rnacentral:rRNA from 1 species